rnacentral:rRNA from 1 species
AGAGUUUGAUCCUGGCUCAGCCUGAACGCUGGCGGCGUGGUUAAGACAUGCAAGUCGCACGGUGUAGCAAUACACAGUGGCGAACGGGUGAGUAAUGUGUCGCUAACGUGCCCCGGACUCCGGGAUAGCCGUCCGAAAGGGCGGGUAAUACCGGGUAACAUACUUGGGAGGCAUCUCCCGAGUCUCAAAGGUCCGCCGGUCCGGGAGCGGGCGACAUCGUAUCAGCUAGUUGGUGGGGUAACGGCCCACCAAGGCGACGACGCGUAGCCGGACUGAGAGGUCGGCCGGCCACAUCGGGACUGAGACACUGCCCGGACUCCUACGGGGGGCUGCAGUAACGAAUCUUCCCCAAUGCACGAAAGUGUGAGGGAGCGACGCCGCGUGUGGGACGAAGUCCUUCGGGAUGUAAACCACUGUCAGGGGUUACCAAGUCCUGAGGAGCCCCAGAGGAAGUGGCGGCUAACUCUGUGCCAGCAGCCGCGGUAAGACAGAGGCCACGAGCGUUAGGCGGAAUCACUGGGCUUAAAGCGUGUGUAGGCGGACCGUUAGUGCCCGCGUGAAAUCCCCCGGCUCAACCGGGGAACGGCCGGGCAUACUGGCGGUCUUGAGCGGUCUAGGGGUCAUCGGAACAAACGGUGGAGCGGUGAAAUGCGUAAUUUCGUUUUGGAACGCGACGUAAAACAGAUUGACUUGGGACCCUGCCUGGACGUUUGANACACACGAAAGCCAGGGGGAGCAAAACGGGAUUNAGAUACCCCCGUUAGUUCCUGGCCCCUAAACGAUGUCGAUAGAUCGUGGUCCCUCUGACGGGUUCACGUUCGAAGCAAAAGUGCUAAGUUCGACCGCCUGGGAAGUACGNUCGCAAGGCUAAAACUCAAAGGAAUUGACGGGGGCUCACACAAGCGGUGGAGCAUGUGGUUUAAUUCGAAGCAACGCGCAGAACCUUACCUGGGCUUGACAUGCCUGGGUUAUCCCGGUGAAAGCCGGGUAGGCCCCGCAAGGGGUACAACAGGCACAGGUGCUGCAUGGCUGUCGUCAGCUCGUGUCGUGAGAUGUCGGGUUAAGUCCCAUAACGAGCGAAACCUUUGCCCUUAGUUACCAGCGGGUUAUGCCGGGGACUCUAAGGGGACUGCCGGUGUCAAACCGGAGGAAGGUGGAGAUGACGUCAAGUCCUCAUGGCCUUUAUGCCCAGGGCCACACACGUGCUACAAAUGCGGCGGACAAAGGGAACCUAGAACGCGAGUUCAUGGGAAUCUCAAAAAUCGCCGCCCAGUUCAGAUCGGAGGCUGCAACCCGCCUCCGUGAAGUUGGAAUCGCUAGUAAUCGCGGAUCAGCUACGCCGCGGUGAAUGUGUCCCUGAGCCUUGUACACACCGCCCGUCAAGUCAUGGGAGCCGGGAACGGCCGAAGUCGCCUCGACUCGGAGGCGCCUACGCCGAGCUCGGUGACUGGGACUAAGUCGUACAAGGUAGCCGUAGGGGAACCUGCGGCUGGAUCACCUCCUU